rnacentral:rRNA from 1 species
UACGUAGGCAGCAAGCGUUGUUCGGAGUUACUGGGCGUAAAGGGUGUGUAGGCGGCCUGUUAAGUUCCGUGUGAAAUCUCCCGGCUCAACCGGGAGGGUGCGCGGAAAACUGGCGGGCUAGAGUGCGGGAUGGGAGAGUAGAAUUCCUGGUGUAGCGGUGAAAUGCGUAGAUAUCAGGAGGAAUACCCAUGGCGAAGGCAGCUUCCUGGCCCAAUUCUGACGCUGAGGUGCGAAAGCGUGGGUAGCGAACGGG